CUCUGCGGAGACCGGGAACCCAGGGAGAAGGAAGGGGCGGCUCACAGAGGGUCAGCAGCUGGAGGAUCAGCACCAGGGCCAUGGUAGGCAGAUAUCUGCUGGAGCUGGAAUCAGGGCUUGGUUGCAUCCUCUCCCCUCCCAGGAAAUGAGGAAACAUCAGAAAGCCAGACCCAGAUCGUCGUUUAGGGAAGAGAGGAUCGAGCUGCUACCAGUCCGACUGACAGACCCAGACCAGGUCAGUUUCUUCAGUGAUCUGAGCUAUACUGGCGGUAACAGGGCACUGUGAGAGCCCGCAGAAAGCUCCUAACCCAUCUGGGAUGAGACCUAGCGCUUCCAGGACGAGCUGAUGUUGAGCUGAGACCUCGAAGGAAAGGUUAGUCAUUCACCUUCUCCCGGGCUCAGUUUCUUCAUCUGUAAAAUGGGCUUUCAUACAUAAACUAUAAAAUGAGGAUUAUUUUGUUCCGCCUUAGGUGGUCUCAGUAGGAGGACUAGUCACCCCGGAGCGACUUCUAGGCAGAGACUAAGGAGAUUCCACGCAGGUCCGCAAAGUCAGGCUUGCGCUUGCUCUUGGCACUACUUCCUUUACCUCUGCUGCUCCAUCUUUGUUCUGCGCUAGUGCGCACGCGCAGACUCCGAAAGCGGUACCUUGCACGGAGGGACCACAACUCCCAGAGUGCUCCGCGUCCUGGCUUUUUCCUCCACUUCUGCUCCAGGGCGCAAGCGCAACCCGGGGAGGGGGGGGGGGGGUUUCUCGCGCGUAGGGACCACAACUCCCAGAGUGCUCCGCGUCCUCGCCGGUGUCGCCGCCGAGACCAAGAUGGCUGCGAGUAAGUGCCGGUGGCGCGCGGGGCUCGGUGGUACCGGGAACCUCCGGGCGGUCCUGGGACUGAGGACUCGGCGCCUUCCUCAAGAAUGCCUGGGACAAGGAGCCAGUGCUGGUCGCGUCCUUCGUCAUCGGGGGCCUCGCUAUAAUUAUGCCCACAUUCAGCCCCUACGUCAAGUACUCCAUCAUGAUCAACGAGGCCACGCCCUACAACUACCCAGUGCCCGUCCGUGAUGAUGGGAACAUGCCGGACGUGCCCAGCCACCCCCAGGACCCUCAGGGCCCCAGCCUGGAGUGGCUUAAGAAACUGUGAGCACCUUCACUGACAGAGGCGGCCCCUCCCACGGCUCCCAAUAAAAAUGUGAACACCAACCCCA